rnacentral:rRNA from 1 species
UACGUAGGGUGCAAGCGUUGUCCGGCAUUCUUGGGCGUAAAGAGCUCGUAGGCGGUUCGUCGCGUCGGCUGUGAAAUCCCGAGGCUCAACCUCGGGUCUGCAGUCGAUACGGGCGGACUGGAGUUCGGCAGGGGAGACUGGAAUUCCUGGUGUAGCGGUGAAAUGCGCAGAUAUCGGGAGGAACACCGGUGGCGAAGGCGGUUCUCUGGGCCUUACCUGACGCUGAGGAGCGAAAGCGUGGGGAGCGAACAGG